rnacentral:rRNA from 1 species
CCUACGGGUGGCUGCAGUGAGGAAUAUUGGUCAAUGGACGCAAGUCUGAACCAGCCAAGCAGCGUGCAGGAUGACGGCUCUAUGAGUUGUAAACUGCUUUUGUAAGAGGAUAAUAUCAGAUACGUGUAUCUGCUUGAAAGUAUCGUACGAAUAAGGAUCGGCUAACUCCGUGCCAGCAGCCGCGGUAAUACGGAGGAUCCCAGCGUUAUCCGGAUUUAUUGGGUUUAAAGGGUGCGUAGGCGGGUUUAUAAGUUAGAGGUGAAAAUUCGGGGCUCAACUCCGGACGUGCAGCUAAUACUGGAUGACUUGAGUAUAGAUGCGGUAGGCGGAAUGUAUGGUGUAGCGGUGAAAUGCUUAGAUAUCAUACAGAACACCGAUUGCGAAGGCAGCUUACCAAACUACAUCUGACGUUGAGGCACGAAAGCGUGGGUAUCAAACAGGAUUAGAUACCCUAGUAGUC